ACCAGAAUGGCUGAGUGGUUAAGGCGUUGGACUUAAGAUCCAAUGGAUGUACGUCCGUGUGGGUUCGAACCCCACUUCUGGUA